AGUGAACGCUGGCGGUAGGCCUAACACAUGCAAGUCGAACGGCAGCACAGUAAGAUCUUGCUCUUACGGGUUGCGAGUGGCGGACGGGUGAGGAAUACAUCGGAAUCUACUUUUUCGUGGGUGAUAACGUAGGGAAACUUACGCUAAUACCGCAUACUACCUACGGGUGAAAGCAGGGGAUCUUCGCACCUUGCGCGUUUGUAUUAGCCGAUUUCGGAUUAGCUAGUUGGCGGGGUAACGGCCCACCAAGGCGACGAUCCGUAGCUGGUCUGAGAGGAUGAUCAGCCACACUGGAACUGAGACACGGUCCAGACUCCUACGGGAGGCAGCAGUGGGGAAUAUUGGACAAUGGGCGCAAGCCUGAUCCAGCCAUACCGCGUGGGUGAAGAAGGCCUUCGGGUUGUAAAGCCCUUUUGUUGGGAAAGAAAAGCAGCAGGUUAAUACCCCGCUGUUCUGACGGUACCCAAAGAAUAAGCACCGGCUAACUUCGUG
rnacentral:rRNA from 1 species